rnacentral:rRNA from 1 species
GAUGAACGCUGGCGGCGUGCCUAAUACAUGCAAGUCGAGCGAACGGACGAUAAGCUUGCUUCUCUGAUGUUAGCGGCGGACGGGUGAGUAACACGUGGAUAACCUACCUAUAAGACUGGGAUAACUUCGGGAAACCGGAGCUAAUACCGGAUAAUAUUUUGAACCGCAUGGUUCAAAAGUGAAAGACGGUCUUGCUGUCACUUAUAGAUGGAUCCGCGCUGCAUUAGCUAGUUGGUAAGGUAACGGCUUACCAAGGCAACGAUGCAUAGCCGACCUGAGAGGGUGAUCGGCCACACUGGAACUGAGACACGGUCCAGACUCCUACGGGAGGCAGCAGUAGGGAAUCUUCCGCAAUGGGCGAAAGCCUGACGGAGCAACGCCGCGUGAGUGAUGAAGGUCUUCGGAUCGUAAAGCUCUGUUAUUAGGGAAGAACAUAUGUGUAAGUAACUGUGCACAUCUUGACGGUACCUAAUCAGAAAGCCACGGCUAACUACGUG